rnacentral:rRNA from 1 species
GACAGAGGGUGCGAACGUUGCUCGGAAUUACUGGGCGUAAAGCGCGAGUAGGUGGUUCGGUAAGUCGGGUGUGAAAGCCCAGGGCUCAACCCUGGAAGGGCACUCGAACCUGCCGGGCUGGAGUGUCGGAGGGGAGAGCGGAAUUCCCGGUGUAGAGGUGAAAUUCGUAGAUAUCGGGAGGAACACCAGUGGCGAAGGCGGCUCUCUGGACGACCACUGACACUGAGACGCGAAAGCGUGGGGAG